AUCCUGGCUUAGGACGAACGCUGGCGGCGUGCUUAACACAUGCAAGUCGAACGGAACCUUCGGGUUUAGUGGCAAACGGGUGAGUAACGCGUAGGUAAUCUGCCGUAUGGAUGGGGACAACAGUUCGAAAGGACUGCUAAUACCGAAUGAAGUAUUGAUACCGCAUGGUGUUGAUAUUAAAGAUUUAUCGCCAUACGAGGAACCUGCGUCCGAUUAGGUAGUUGGUAAGGUAACGGCUUACCAAGCCGACGAUCGGUAACCGGUCUGAGAGGAUGAACGGUCACAUUGGAACUGAGACACGGUCCAGACUCCUACGGGAGGCAGCAGUGGGGAAUAUUCCACAAUGGAGGGAACUCUGAUGGAGCGACGCCGCGUGAGUGAAGAAGGGCUUCGGCUCGUAAAGCUCUUUUCUGAUUGACGAAUGACUUAUUGGAUAAGUAGAGACGGUAAAUUGGGAAUAAGCCACGGCUAACUACGUGCCAGCAGCCGC
rnacentral:rRNA from 1 species